rnacentral:rRNA from 1 species
CGGUCCAGACUCCUACGGGAGGCAGCAGUGGGGAAUAUUGCACAAUGGGCGCAAGCCUGAUGCAGCCAUGCCGCGUGUGUGAAGAAGGCCUUCGGGUUGUAAAGCACUUUCAGCGGGGAGGAAGGCGAUAAGGUUAAUAACCUUGUCGAUUGACGUUACCCGCAGAAGAAGCACCGGCUAACUCCGUGCCAGCAGCCGCGGUAAUACGGAGGGUGCAAGCGUUAAUCGGAAUUACUGGGCGUAAAGCGCACGCAG